rnacentral:rRNA from 1 species
UUUAAGCAUAUCACUCAGUGGAGGAAGUGACAGCAACAGCGAUUGCUGCAGUAACGGCGAGUGAACCAGGAGUAUCAUGGCUCUGCCUGAAGUGAGUUUCCCUGUUGUGCGACCCUCCCACAGCGAACGGCUCGGUGCAGACCCCCGGAACCUCCGGUGUGGCUCCCAGGCCCUCCUGUGAUGGGUGUGCGAUCGGCUAUCGUGGAUCUCAGCAUAUGCUGUGGGCUAUGGAGCGGUUGGCUGUGCUGUCGGUGACCCUGGCACCAGGAAGAGCUCUGGAAUGAGCCACAACAGAGGGCUAUCGUCCCCUACGCUGGGCUAUCAGUGUGCCAUGGGUUCAUCGGCGGUGUGGCUGGCUGCAUCCCGGAGUAGAGUGGCUUGGGACUGCAGUUUGAAGUGCGAUGUGUAUCCAUCGCAAGGAGCAAUACAGACCUGGGACCGAUAGAGCACAAGUAGAGUGAUCGAAGGAUGCAAAGAACUCCGUGAAGAGGGUUAAAAGUCCCUGAAGCCUCGGCAGGGAUGGCGGUGAGUGGUGCUGUGGCUCUCCAGACCAGGCAGGCACUGUCUCCAGGCUGCGUGGCGCGCCGUCAGGCAACCCAUGUGGCUGGGCAGGUGGCGGUCCCUGGUUCUGAUGAAAAACAAUUAUCCAAGCGACCUCAAGGCCAGCCCCUGGCUGGUCACUGAGCCCCUGCCUCCAGGUGGGGACGCAAUCGUGGCAGCCUUCAGGGUGGCACCCUGCUCGCCAGGGCCUGAGGCUUGAAUCGAAGCAACACCAGUAUGGAUUGGACAUCAUCACGUCGAAGGGGUGUGGGCAACCCAGAACUCAUCAACAGAAUGGCAUCGCAUCUCUGGCUUGACUUGGGAGUCUCGUUGUGAACGGCGCACAGAAGGCCGACCCCUCUCGGGGCGAGCCCGUUCGAGGACCGGAGCAGGUUCGGACCCAAGGCUCAAAGGAGUGUGAAUGUGCAUCUGGAGAAAAGGCAGUGCUGACACUUACAAACCUGGCCUUGUCCUCGGACAUGGCCAGUCGCCAUGGCUCCCUCCACUGUGUGGUCUGGGGUCUGGUGGCUGCAUGGGUGGCUGCACCAUUCUGAUGGUGGUCGCCCUGCUGGCUGCCGACCCCCCACCGGGGGCCUGGUGCAGAAGGCAGCUGAGCUUGGCCAGAAAUCCUGUUGACAGUGCCACUCUCUGCCCGUCUUGAAACACGGACCAAGGAGUCUAUGGAGCUUGCUGAGUUGCAUGGGUGUGUGCAGGGACCCCCUGCCACCCAACCAGGAUGAGAUUACCAAGCCACAGGGCAAGGUGAAGGCAACGUGCCAGGCCCCUCUGGGGUCUGUUCCAGAAUGUGGAUCCUCACUGCAUGGAAACACCGGAUCCGAAGUCCAGUGGACAGGGUUUCGAGUGCUUGCAAGGUCCAUGGGACCCGAAAGGUGGUGAACUAUACCGUCCUACGGCGAAGCCAUGGGAAACUGUGGUGGAGGCCGGUCGCUGUUCUGACGUGCAAAUCGUGUAGCCUGAGUGCGGCAUAGGGGUGAAAGGCCAAUCGAGCCACCUAGUAGCUGGUUCCCUUCGAAGUUUCCCUCAGGAUAGCUGGGCUCGAAUGCAAGACAGACUGCUCACAGAGUGGUUACGUCCGGUAAAGCAACGCAUGAGAGGCAACUCCGGGGAGCCCCUGCUCCUCGACCUAUCCUCGAACUGUGAAUGGGCGUGGUGAACCCACAAACCAACAAAUUCAAAGGCAUGCUUCUUCACAAUGCCUGGAGUCGGGCUCAACCCCGUUCUCCCUGGGCUUCUGAGCGUGUUUGGAACGGAGUCGACGCGGGGUCCGCCCCUGUGUCCACAACCUGGAGAGUCUUGAACACAAGUGCCUAUGUGGGCCAUGACUGGUAAGCAGUGCUGGCGAUGCGGGGUGCUCCGAGAGUGGAUUUACAGAUCCGAAGUGCUGGCUCAUACUCAGAUCCCACAAAGGAUGUCGCUUGCUCUGGAUAGCAGGACGGUGGCCAUGAAGGUUGGAACCCGCUGAGGAAUGUGUAACAACUCACCUGCCGAAGCGUGCGGCUCCGAAAAUGGAUGGUGCCUAAGUCAGCGAAGCUUGAUCUCCCUCACAAUCCACCAUUGGUGUGGCAGACACAACAGCAGAGCAUCACUGUGUAGAAAGGGCAUGAGAGACCGCGGCACCGGCUGGGGCUGUCCCUGGCUGGAGCGUCUCCUAGAGCAGAUCUUGGUUGUAGUAGCGAGUACUCCAUCGGGUGAAGGGCGGCACAACCCCGCUGUGUGCGGUUGAGGACUGGAGUGGAGCAGGUUUCCACAUCAAACAGCCGUUGAAUGUGGGUCAACCGACCGUGAGCCAAGUGGUAAGUUCACCGGACAACCAAAGCUGCCUCCCCAGAAGGGUGCGCAGGAGUGGCAAACAGGCAAGCAAGUGCAACAUUCUGCUGUGAUGUGUGGAAGGGGUGGCUCCGAGAGGUGGCGACACCCUCGUCCAUCACCAGGCAAGCUGAGGGGCAGUGGGACCCCCGAGGAGUUAUCGUUUCCUCCUGAUGCAAGACUCAUGUGGGCUAUCGAUUGCAAGUCAAGUUGGUGGAGUAUGCCCUCCGCUCAGCAAGGCAGUGCGUCCUACGUGCUGGUGGUCUCCUGCUGAAUCUGGGUCCCUGUCACGACACUGACCCAACCAACGACGCUAAUGGUCAUCACUGGCUCCAAUGAAAGGCUGGCCUGGGGGCGGUGCCCCAGAUCCCUGGUCGUCGUACUGAAUCACCGCAGCUGGUCUCCUCGACGAGAAGUCGCUAGUCGACAGGCGAAAUGCAGCUAAGGGAAGUCGGCAAACUGGCUGCGCACCUUCGGAAGAUGCAGUGGCUCCAGAGGCCAGGUCGUUGAGGCCCCAUCGAUGGCUGUGUGGUGCUUGGGUGAUCGCCCCAUGGGCUGUGGUCUCGGCCAUGACCCUGGUGUCGAACCCCUUGCGCUGCACUGUGUGUUCGGUGGGGGUCCCUGGUCCCUCGUGGGCCAGGCGGCCACCCUCUCGUCUGCAAAGUGGCUCAUGUGGAACUGUUGCUGUGCAGGGGAAUCUGACUGUUUAAUUGAAACCCAGCUUUGUGAAGGGACCAGCUGGCUGGUGCCAUGAGGUGACUUCUGCCCAGUGCUCUGAUUGUCAAUGCGAAGAGAUUCAGCCAAGCGCGGGUAAACGGCGGGAGUAACUAUGACUCUCUUAAGGUAGCCAAAUGCCUCGUCAGCCAAUUACUGACGCGCAUGAAUGGAUCAACGAGAUUCCUGCUGUCCCUAGUCGCUGUCUGGUGAACCAACAACCAAGGGAACGGGCUUGGAUGUGUCAGCGGGGAAAGAAGAGCCUGUUGAGA